AAAUUUGAAUGCCUUUUCAAUUGCACAUAUGCUAAACCGUGGUGUGUGAAGUAUUGAUGAGUGCAUAUAUUAGAAAAAGGAGACCUUUAGAAAUCAACCAUUGUUAUAAUUUGAAUCCUGGAGCACUUUGCUAAGCCCACGAGUGCGUAACAUGCGAUCUACGUACAGUAUGCAUGGCAGAUUGUUCCCAAGAGCAGACAAUCUUUUGUUUAAACGUUAUUUCAA